GAUGAACGCUGGCGGCGUGCCUAAUACAUGCAAGUCGAGCGAACGGACGAGAAGCUUGCUUCUCUGAUGUUAGCGGCGGACGGGUGAGUAACACGUGGAUAACCUACCUAUAAGACUGGGAUAACUUCGGGAAACCGGAGCUAAUACCGGAUAAUAUUUUGAACCGCAUGGUUCAAAAGUGAAAGACGGUCUUGCUGUCACUUAUAGAUGGAUCCGCGCUGCAUUAGCUAGUUGGUAAGGUAACGGCUUACCAAGGCAACGAUGCAUAGCCGACCUGAGAGGGGGAUCGGCCACCCUGGAACUGAGACACGGUCCAGACCCCUACGGGAGGCAGAAGUAGGGAAUCUUCCGCAAUGGGCGAAAGCCUGACGGAGCAACGCCGCGUGAGUGAUGAAGGUCUUCGGAUCGUAAAACGCUGUUAUUAGGGAAGAACAUAUGUGUAAGUAACUGUGCACAUCUGGACGGUACCUAAGCAGAAAGCCACGGCUAACUACGU
rnacentral:rRNA from 1 species